rnacentral:rRNA from 1 species
GAUGAACGCUGGCGGCGUGCCUAAUACAUGCAAGUCGAGCGAACGGACGAGAAGCUUGCAUCUCUGAUGUUAGCGGCGGACGGGUGAGUAACACGUGGAUAACCUACCUAUAAGACUGGGAUAACUUCGGGAAACCGUAGCUAAUACCGGAUAAUAUUUUGAACCGCAUGGUUCAAAAGUGAAAGACGGUCUUGCUGUCACUUAUAGAUGGAUCCGCGCUGCAUUAGCUAGUUGGUAAGGUAACGGCUUACCAAGGCAACGAUGCAUAGCCGACCUGAGAGGGUGAUCGGCCACACUGGAACUGAGACACGGUCCAGACUCCUACGGGAGGCAGCAGUAGGGAAUCUUCCGCAAUGGGCGAAAGCCUGACGGAGCAACGCCGCGUGAGUGAUGAAGGUCUUCGGAUCGUAAAACUCUGUUAUUAGGGAAGAACAUAUGUGUAAGUAACUGUGCACAUCUUGACGGUACCUAAUCAGAAAGCCACGGCUAACUACGUG